GCGGGGAAGUCAGAGGGAGUCUUUUUCUGGGUGUGUUCCGUGUUGAAUAGCUCCUUUAUCCAUCCCACGUUAUCCUCUGUGUUGAUGAUCCUUCAUGCAUCCCACGGGACAUAUGGCUGCUGUUUUGUAGGCAGUGAGAAUGAGGGCUUGGGCAAAUGAUAGGAUCCUCGUAGAAUGGCUUGGGAUGGAAGGGACCUCAAGGAUCAUCAAGCUCCAAGCCCCGUGCCUCAGGCUGGGCUGCCAACCUCCACUUUGAAUGCCAGACUAGACCAGGCUGCCCAGGGCCCCAUCCAACGUGGCCUUGGAGUCCUCCGGGGACGGGGAAAGUCCGCUGUUGUAUGUACUUGUUGGCAAUGUUCUUCCCGCUUUUACGUGCUCUGUAGAAUGUGUGACGCUCGGCCUGGUCCCACUGAUCCCAACGUGAAAUGAACUCGUUUCUUCCUUGUGUUGUGCAGUGCCAAAGAAGCGUGGCAAGCUCAUCAGCUUCCUUCGUUCCUUCGCGAAGGCCCGCCCAAAGAAACCGAAGCAGCGGGAGAUGGAGAAGGAGAAGGAAGGGGUGUUUGGCUGUGACCUGGGAGAGCAUCUUCUCCACUCUGGCCGUGACGGUAAGAAACAGCCCGUUCCUGAGAGCUUCCUCUGUUGGGCAUGUAAAGAUGAAAGGGAGAUCACCUCUGGCAAGGGGCAGGUUGAUAGCGGUGGAGAAAGGUGAGGUGGGAGUUGAUGGCUGAAAGGUAAGCUGAGGCUAAUGCCCAUAGGAGAGCAGCCCACUUGUAUUUGCUUAAAGCAAAAGGUGUAAGCCAAUGCCACGCUAGCCUGAAAACAAAGGCAGCCUUUUGGCCAAAGAGAGUGUACUGCAUCAGUUUCUAGCUCUUCUGGACGUGAGGUCUCAUGCCUCCAUUGCGGUGGGAGCUGUGAUGGGACUUGCAGUGUCUCUGGCUUCCCCAGAAUUACUUUCUGCAGGCUGGUUGGCAGGUCCUGGCAUUUCUGGAAAGCCAAGAGCACGUCUGUGUCCAGUUUCCUCCCCGGCUCCUGCCUGUCAGAGACGUCUGUGCCGGCUUUCUUUCUCC
ensembl:lncRNA